UGGGGAAUAUUGCACAAUGGGGGCAACCCUGAUGCAGCGACGCCGCGUGUGCGAAGAAGGUUUUCGAAUCGUAAAGCUCUGUCCUCUGGGAAGAUAAUGACGGUACCAUAGGAGGAAGCCCCGGCUAACUACGUGCCAGCAGCCGCGGUAAUACGUAGGGGGCAAGCGUUGUCCGGAAUCACUGGGCGUAAAGGGUUCGCAGGCGGAAAUGCAAGUCAGUUGUGAAAGGCAGAGGCUCAACCUCUGUAAGCAAUUGAAACUGUAUUUCUUGAGAUGUGGAGAGGCAAGUAGAAUUCCUAGUGUAGCGGUGAAAUGCGUAGAUAUGAGGAAGAAUACCGGUGGCGAAGGCGACUUGCUGGACAAAAACUGACGCUGAGGAACGAAAGCGUGGGUAGCAAACAGG
rnacentral:rRNA from 1 species